rnacentral:rRNA from 1 species
UACGUAGGUGGCAAGCGUUGUCCGGAAUUAUUGGGCGUAAAGCGCGCGCAGGUGGGAUGUUAAGUCAUUUGUAAAAGUGCGGGGCUCAACCCCGUAAAGCGAUUGAUACUGGCAUUCUUGAGUGCAGGAGAGGAAAGCGGAAUUCCCAGUGUAGCGGUGAAAUGCGUAGAUAUUGGGAGGAACACCAGUGGCGAAGGCGGCUUUCUGGACUGUGUCUGACACUGAGGCGCGAAAGCCAGGGGAGCGAACGGG